rnacentral:rRNA from 1 species
CCUACGGGUGGCAGCAGUGAGGAAUAUUGGUCAAUGGACGCAAGUCUGAACCAGCCAUGCCGCGUGCAGGAAGACGGCUCUAUGAGUUGUAAACUGCUUUUGUACGAGGGUAAACGCAGAUACGCGUAUCUGUCUGAAUGUAUCGUACGAAUAAGGAUCGGCUAACUCCGUGCCAGCCGCCGCGGUAAUACGGAGGAUUCGAGCGUUAUCCGGAUUUAUUGGGUUUAAAGGUGGCGUAGGCUGUUGGAUAAGUUAGAGGUCAAAUGUCGGGGCUUAACCCCGGGACUGCCGCUGAUACUGGUCGACUAGAGAGCGGAUGCGGCAGGCGGAAUGAGUAGUGUAGCGGUGAAAUGCUGAGAUAUUACGCAGAACACCGAUUGCGCAGGCAGCUUGCUAAUCCGCAUCUGACGCUGAGGCACGAAAGCGUGGGUAGCGAACAGGAUUAGAUACCCCGGUAGUC